CAACACUUCAAAAACUGACUGUACAAAAACUAUUUCAAGUUUACAAACUAACAUAUUCAACAUAUACAAAUUAAAAGAAGAGAAGGAAGAAGAGAAUGAAGAAAAAGACAUGUGGACUAAGUGCACAAAAUAUAAACAUACAAUACACACACGGUAGAAGUAAACAGACACACAGACAGAAAUGACGAUGAACAUAAAAGUACAUGAGCACAGACAGGCACGCAAUUUGCAUUUUUUGAAAGAAAUAGGACUGGAAAAUAUGUCAGACUUCUCUUACAUAGAACGUUCCAGGGUUUGACAAUACNNNNNNNNNNNNNNNNNNNNGGGGGGGAAUUGGCCGAAUUGCCCUGGGCUCCACCUUAAUAGGGCCCCAACUUGAGAGCGAAAGCAUAAAAUUGAGUAGGUUCUUUAAAUCGGUCAAAGAAUUUUUGAAAUUGAGGGUCCCUUACAAUACAUCCACAUGCAGUCUAGUUAAGGUCUAGUUGGGUCUAGCUAAUUAGAAAUAGUGAUUUAAUGCCCCACAAAUUCUCUGGGCAGCCUUGGUACAAAGAAACACUGUAUGUACGAUUUAUUUCAUUUCAAAAAUUGAGAUUACAACACUUCAAAAACUGACUGUACAAAAACUAUUUCAAGUUUACAAACUAACAUAUUCAACAUAUACAAAUUAAAAGAAGAGAAGGAAGAAGAGAAUGAAGAAACUUGACAUGUGGACUAAGUGCACAAAAUACAAAUAUACAAUACACACACGGUAGAAGUAAACAGACAUGAGCACAGACAGGCACGCAAUUUGCAUUUUUUGAAAGAAAUAGGACUGGAAAAUACGUCUCUUACAUAGACUUCUCUUACAUAGAAUGUUCCAGGGUUUGACAAUACAAUCUUAAAGAAAGAAAAUUGAAAAGUACAUGUAGUUGAACAGAGGAGUUUGAAGGACAGCACUAACAACCUGACUAAGUUGUGUACAACCAUGUUCAACAAAAGAAACAGGAGUCAUAACUGUUCAUGUUAAUGUCAAUAUAGGGCCAUUCCAUUUAAUAUCCCCCCCCCCCCCCCCCUCCCAUGGAUGAGGUCAGUAAAAUUUUAACCCCUACAAAACCC
rnacentral:lncRNA from 1 species